AGCUCCAAUAGCGUAUAUUAAAGUUGCUGCAGUUAAAAAGCUCGUAGUUGCAUUUCCGAGGCAAGGGAUUAGUCCGACCUUUGGUGGGUAUUUAAUCCUCUUGCCUCGUCCUUGAGUGGUGCUUCUUGGUAUUAAGUUAUCGAGGAGAUAGCCGCUCAUCGUUUACUGUGAGAAAAUUAGAGUGUUCAAAGCAGGCUUAUGCCGUUGAAUAUAUUAGCAUGGAAUAAUAAGAUAGGACCUCGGUACUAUUUUGUUUGUUUGAGAACCAAGGUAAUGAUGAAUAGGGACAGUUGGGGGUAUUCGUAUUCAGUUGUCAGAGGUGAAAUUCUUAGAUUUACGGAAGACGAACUACUGCGAAAGCAUUUUCCAAGGAUGUUUUCA
rnacentral:rRNA from 1 species